rnacentral:rRNA from 1 species
ACAGCAGUCGCCACGGUAAUACGGAGGAUCCAAGCGUUAUCCGGAAUCAUUGGGUUUAAAGGGUCCGUAGGCGGUCUUGUAAGUCAGUGGUGAAAGCCCAUCGCUCAACGGUGGAACGGCCAUUGAUACUGCAGGACUUGAAUUAUUGGGAAGUAACUAGAAUAUGUAGUGUAGCGGUGAAAUGCUUAGAUAUUACAUGGAAUACCAAUUGCGAAGGCAGGUUACUACCAAUUGAUUGACGCUGAUGGACGAAAGCGUGGGUAGCGAACAGGAUUAGAUACCCCUGUAGUCCCUGUCUCUUAUAC